GCCUAGUCGUGGGUGUGAGAAGGCAGGGCGCUAGAGAAGGCAGGUGAAUUCAUUUGCUUGCUCAGAGUUGCCUGGAAAUUUGGACAGGGAGGUUCCGCUGUGUCAGGGUUGCAAAGCAGCAACAGAAGACACACUGAAAUGUAUCUGUAGUGUUUGGUAGACAUUUUUGCAGACCUUGAGCGCGUUCAGUUGGGAUAAAGCGUCAAGCCCAGCCCCCUUUCUGGAAUGGAUUUCUGGAGCCGGCUGCCAUUCCUGAGAAGUCCUCUUCUUUUCUGGAAGAAGUGAUUUGCAGCGUUCCCUGGGCCUUUGUUGAGAAGGGUCUCCUCUGGAGUGAGUCACGCUCUCGCAGUGCGCAGCCCGAGCCGCGGGGCGCUCCCCUUCGGAAGCGAUGACUGGAGCAGCGCGAGCGUGCCGCCCUCCGCAGCCGAGCGCGGGGCCGGGGCUGCGCGGACGCGGCGGCGCGGGCCGCUAG